rnacentral:rRNA from 1 species
GACGGAGGGUGCGAGCGGUAAUCGGAAUUACUGGGCGUAAAGCGCAUGUAGGCGGCCGAACAAGUCAGGUGUGAAGUCCUCGGGCUUAACCUGGGAAGUGCACUUGAUACUGUCCGGCUAGAGUUUGGCAGAGGAAAGUAGAAUUCCCGGUGUAGCAGUGAAAUGCGUAGAUAUCGGGAGGAAUACCAGUGGCGAAGGCGGCUUUCUGGGCCAAUACUGACGCUGAGGUGCGAAAGCGUGGGGAGCAAACAGG